UGUAAUCAAUCUGUCAAAAGGAUUCUAAUUCUUGCAGACGAAGGGAGAUAGUGAAGUUAGCUUUAGGGGUUUAGGGCACAUUCCAAGGUUAGGUUUUAUGCCUUUUGUUCUGGUUGUUCCGGCAUCUACUUCUCUCUCUGUCUUUGAUCUUUCGACAUGGACGAAUCUUAGACCAGUCUUCCUACCAGCCAUUUACUGGGUUCAGUUAUUUUAUGGGCUGGUUUGGAUCUCCACCACGUUGGUCAUUGUGCUUGCUCCGCUUGGGAACUGUGCCACCUACCUGAUAGUCACACGAAAUGAUAGCAGCACAUCCUGGAGCUUUGAUGUCAACUUUCUGAACUUCGCUGCAUGUGCAGUGUAUGGUUAUGCACUUCUGGUGCCUUUGGCAUUUUACUUUUUGAUUCAGUAUUUUGGAUCAAGUGCAAGUCUUGUUUGCUUCUGGUGUAUGUGGGGAUAUUCUUUCUUCAUCUUCAUCCUCAGUUUUGUUCUGUUUCUAAUCCCAGUUGAGAUCCUUAGGUGGAUCAUCAUAAUCCCCAUCGCUGUGGCUUCAACUUCCUUUGUUUCUCUGAACAUAAAGUCCUUCAUUGAGGCUGAUCUCAUGAUAGUGGUGGUGGCAGCAUUUGUUUUGCAAGUUACUCUGGCAGUUUUCAUCAAGAUCUGGUGCUUCCCAUUAACCUCAGACGCAUACUCAAUGGUAUCCUGAAAGAAAAAGAGAUGUAAACAGAUGGCAUCCAAUACAGGGAUAAUUGCUAUGUUCAUGUUCCACUUUGUAUUUUAUGUCCUGUGGUGGAAUCAAGGAAGCCAAAAGAGACGAAACUGCACUAUGACAAAUACUGGGAGUUGACGAAAUUGCAGUAUGACAAAUUCCAAUCAGGGUUCUCUUCAAGUUGAAGAUCAUCUCUGCAAUUCGAUCCCUUCUAAGCUUGAAAUCCUUUGGACGAUCAGAAGCAUCAACUAUGAUUGCAUAUUCAAUGAGUUUAAAAAAAUCAGAAUCUGCUUUGAAGAAUGGGGGCCAGUGACUUAGGGAAUGGGUUUUGGAAGACAUGAUGAGAAACAAUCGGAAGUGAUCAGUUAAGGAAAGGAUUGAAGAAGAACACACUUGUAAAAAGAAAUGAAUAGGACUGUAAUGAAGCCGUCACAUAUAAAUCGGAAGAAAAGCAUAGUUUCUAGUUCUAACCCAGCUCUGAUUACUUGAUAGGAGUGUUUUUCUAACAAAGUUGGUCAACAAGUCAACUUUUGGUUGCUUUUUUU